rnacentral:rRNA from 1 species
UGGGGAAUAUUGGACAAUGGGCGCAAGCCUGAUCCAGCCAUGCCGCGUGAGUGAUGAAGGCCCUAGGGUUGUAAAGCUCUUUCACCGGUGAAGAUAAUGACGGUAACCGGAGAAGAAGCCCCGGCUAACUUCGUGCCAGCAGCCGCGGUAAUACGAAGGGGGCUAGCGUUGUUCGGAUUUACUGGGCGUAAAGCGCACGUAGGCGGACUUUUAAGUCAGGGGUGAAAUCCCGGGGCUCAACCCCGGAACUGCCUUUGAUACUGGAAGUCUUGAGUAUGGUAGAGGUGAGUGGAAUUCCGAGUGUAGAGGUGAAAUUCGUAGAUAUUCGGAGGAACACCAGUGGCGAAGGCGGCUCACUUGCCCAUUACUGACGCUGAGGUGCGAAAGCGUGGGGAGCAAACAGG